rnacentral:rRNA from 1 species
GAUGAACGCUAGCGGCAGGCUUAAUACAUGCAAGUCGAGGGGUAGCAAGAUUGUAGCAAUGCAAUUGUUGACGACCGGCAAACGGGUGCGGAACACGUACACAACCUUCCUACAAGUGGGGAAUAGCCCAGAGAAAUUUGGAUUAAUACCCCGUAACAUAGCGAUGUGGCAUCACAUUGCUAUUAUAGCUUCGGCGCUUGUUGAUGGGCGUGCGGCUGAUUAGAUAGUUGGCGGGGUAACGGCCCACCAAGUCUACGAUCAGUAGCUGAUGUGAGAGCAUGAUCAGCCCAACGGGCACUGAGACACGGCCCAAACUCCUACGGGAGGCAGCAGUGGGGAAUAUUGGACAAGGGGCGAAAGCCUGAUCCAGCCAUGCCGCGUGUGUGAAGAAGGUCUUCGGAUUGUAAAGCACUUUAAGUUGGGAGGAAGGGCAGCUAGUUAAUACCUGGUUGUUUUGACGUUACCAACAGAAUAAGCACCGGCUAACUUCGUGCCAGCCGCCGCCGUAAAAC